UGGAAUCGAAACCGGUACCUCUGCACUGUGAAGCCGACGUGCUAACCACUGGACUACCGGGCCGCCCCUAACUAGUACAUCAAAGACAAAAACAUGGACUUUAAGACGGUUAACAAUCGAAAGCCAUUUGAGCAUUACUACUCACUUCACAUGUAGCACUUUGAACUUUUCUUUAAAAAAGAUUCUUCAAGCUGUUUGUUGUUUCCUGUCAAAAUAAAUGGCCUUCUGAGAGUCCGUUAGCUUAAUGCUAACCAAGACUGCACAAACGGGGGAAAAUAGCAUCGAGCCAAAUAGUAUUGCCGUAUGUUGAGGAGUCGUGACCAAUUCCAUGUACGGUAUAUCACUAUUUGUAUUAUACUGCCUCCAGCUGGCCAUUUCACACACCAGAAGAAAAAGCAUAAUUUUCAUUGAAAACAAAAACGUGACAAAACGGCGUAUCUAUUUUGAUCACUGUAUAGUUGGAACGCCAUCUUUCCAUUAAAAAAAAAAACACCCAAAAUGUUUGAGUUGUUUGGUUUUUAAGAGGCUGGACCAAAUUAAUGUCGAAUUAAUAACAUCUCAAAACAGCAGUGUCACUCGUAAGACAAAGUGCAUAGUCGUGUAUGCAUAUUAAGAUGGAUACUAAGUAUAAUGACGGGGGGGGGGGGAAUGCUCAAAUAGCUUUUCACAGCGUCAGAUUUGGAGGUGUUUUGUACCCUAUUGUUUCCCAUUGAAAGUGCUUUUUUUAAAGAUCUUUGCUGCCCUCUAGCGACCACAGCUACCUUUUCACGGGUUUCGUAAGUUUCAUGAAGUUAUUUGUGAUUUAACCUCAAACAUCCUUUAUGUCUCAUUCAUGUUGCUUUGUGUUCCCAGUGCACAUCCACUUUCCCGGACAUUGGGUGUCAAAAACGGAAGCCGAGUCGAAGCAGUAGCAGACACGAAGGCAACAAAGGAGAACAUUUCCGUGCUUCGGAGAGUGUGCGCGACCGCGUGGAACACACAUGAAGGCAUUCUGUCCACCAAGACGAUGCCGGGAAAUAGAAAAGUAGUGCACUCGCUGGAUCAGUCCGUGUUUUGGAGCCAUGGCUCACACUAAAAUGUCAAAGCAUGGUUGCGUUUAAGUGGCCGAGUUGUUACAGCAGAUGCACACUAUUGAUUAUAGAUAGAAUAUUGUAUCGUAUAAGUGCUUCCCAUCCCAUUUGGGAUGGUGCACAACUGUAAAAAAAAAUACUCCUCGGUUUUAUUGAUGUCCAAUUUCAUCUCAUCGUGGCUGAUUUACGUAAGUCCUUUGUGCAGCUCCAUCUUCAUUUGUGUUGCUUAUUAGUCAUUGUCUGUGUGUGUGUGUGCUUUACAUACAUGUGGAGCGGAGGAUGGAGGGUGCUCAGAGUGCUCAUCUAAAUAGCAUGAUGUGCAAAAACUUGUUGAGCCUUUGGGCUUUUUCUCCAAAUUGAGGAAGUAGUAGAAUCUUUUGGGGCUUUUUCGUUUUUUUUCCCCCACAAGAUGCUUUUGUGUUCCAUCAGUCCAUAAAGGUAUGCCUGGAUGAGUUUGCUGUGGAAGAACUGGACUCCGGGUGGCAUGACCAUGUAAGUCAAUAUUGUGGAUGAACGUUGUGGGUCCCCAUCCUACUCCUGCUCUUGCAUAGAUUGAUCUAAAAGUAAGCUCUGCUCGUCUCUUUUCAGCUAUGUUUGGAAUCACUCCCAGCACUUGGAAUUUAUUUUUUUUUGGGGGGGGGGGUGAACCUAUCCUCCGUUAUUUGCUGAAAAACAGAUUUUGUGCUCAGACAAAACUAUGCCUAAUAUAAAACUAUUGCUUCGGCGCGAGACUCUUAAAACUGCUCUGUGAAAAGUAACCCAAAGUGGAUGAAAUGGCAACCAAAAAAGUUUGACCAAAAAUAAACCUACCUGGGCCAAAAAGGGAACAAGCAACCUUUGUGAGUUGUACAUUUGACUCCAAAAAGUCGGGUAAAAUGAAUAACCCACAAAACAACCCCCCGCUCCCUAAAAAUAAUCAUCGUUUUUAUACAGAAACCACAAAAUUGGGCGGUGGUUGACUAAACAAGCCCUCAAAAUUUGGUUGUUUUGUCCUAAACAACUCACAAAAUUGGGUGUUACUCUUUAUAGUCGAGUUGGUCCCUUCCUUGUUUUGAUCCAAUUCUGGUUAUUUUUGACCCAACGGUUUAUAGAGUGCGGCACUGGGUCCAAAAGGGAACGAGCCAAGACAUUGGCACAUUGGCUUGAGGAACUUCAGAACACACCGCCCAAAGGGGGGGACCAUUUUCAGUCCUUCAGCCCGCGCAAAUUCAUUCUCCAACCCAAUCUAUCGGGUCAGAAUAACGACCCCAAUCUUGGGUGAGAGUAACCCAGUCUGCUCAAAAUCUAGUGGGUUCGGAAAAACAACCCAGCGUUUUUAAUUAAAUGUGCAUGUUGAAGAGUUAGGCCAUAGCGUUGUCUAAUAGAAAAAAAAAGUGCUUUUCUGUGUCGUACCGAUGAUUAGGAAGUCGGGAAUAGCGAGUGAUUCCAAACACAACCAUGCGUCAUUCCAAAGUGUCGUGCGGAGUUCAGAGGUGGUCCCCGGCAUGGCAGCUCUCGUCCCCGUGGAUAAUGAGCACGGGGAAGAAGAAGGCAUCCUGCACGCCUCGGGUCUCCUCGUCGUCCUGCCGGGUUCCCAAGCCCAGGAAGCCGCCCCCGCCUCCACUUGCUACUCCUUCCUCUCGACUCCCCGCCAGGCCGCCUCCCAUGC